AAAGUCGUAACAAGGUUUCCGUAGGUGAACCUGCGGAAGGAUCAUUACUGCAUGUCUCUGGCGCGAUGCGGGCAACCGGGUCGCGUCGAGCUUGUCACCCUUGUCUAUCAGUACCUUUCGUUACUUCUCUCGGCGGGACCCCCGCCGUUGGGAACGUUCAAACCCUCUUGCAUCAGCAUUACAAACUGAACAACCUAUAAUUAUCACAACUUUCAACAAUGGAUCUCUUGGUUCUG
rnacentral:misc_RNA from 1 species